UUUGGUAAUUGCCUUUUGACAUUUUAAGAUUCACCAUUGCUAUUUCUAUUUAACAGUAAGGCUUUUCAUUUUCACAUGAGCACAUGAAACUAAACUUUAAAUUUUUUUUUGCUCAUGUCCCCUUAGGGGCUCCGUACAAAGUAGAGUACAUAUAUGUGAAUAUUCUACUUAAGUACAGUAACAAAGUGUUUGUACUUUGUUACAACACUGGUUGUUUCCUGUAUAUCUGAGUCUGUGUAGAGGUUUGAUCCUUUAGCUCACAUUAAUCUGAUCUUCACUGAAAUCAGAGCGAGGACAAAGUCACAUUAAGACAAAUAUUUUUGGCAAUGUUACAAGUCUUCUGAAAAGUUUGUGAAAAUGAGAAAUGAUCUUAUUACAUAUGCGCUCAUUUGCAUAAAUGUCCAGAACAAAAAUUGUGAACAUUUGGAUAAAGCCGGGAUCAAACUUCUUGUUUUCAUUUUGUCGACAUAUAAGAGUCAAAGGUUUUUACAGAAGGGAUGUUAAUGUUACUGCACAUGUCCUUACUGUACACCAUACCACUUCAUUAACUGUAUACUACUGUCUACACUGCACUAGAUGUCAUUCUGUUUAUACUGCAUUACCUGUCUAUACUGUUCACAUUGCACUUUUCUGCAUUUUUGCACUUCUGGUUAGAUGCUAACUGCCUUUCAUUGUCUCUAUAAUUGUACUCUGCACAAUGACAACAAAGUUGAAACUAAAGUAAAUCUAAUCUAAACUCUUGCUACCUGUACACAGAUACCCAAAUACAUGUCACCUAAUGUCACCAUUAUAAAUUGUCAUGCAACCAUGUAGUUCAGUUAUCCAUUUUUAUUGUAUGUCAUUAUGUCAGUAUCAUUAUUUGCUUUCUACCAUGCACAAAUAAAAAUGUCACUGAACUUUUGCUGUGUAAUUGUAACAAUGAGCACUUAAACACACCAAACCAACAAUUAAUACAAAACACACAAAAACAGAUUUUGCAUGGGCACUGUACUAGUAUGUAUAAUGUGUUUUCUCUGAACUGGAACUCUUUACAAGAAUGCACAAACACACACACAGGAACUUGUUACUUCCUGUUUGCACAGAAAUAUAAACUCCCUAUGUGGCCCUAAGUGAAAACGAGUUUGACACCCCUGCUGUAUUUAAUAGGUACACUAUGCCAUGUCUGGUCUGAAGCCAUCCCACCCAUUUUUUCUUCAUCCAAUCAGAGAGCAAACUGAGAAAGUAGAAAACUCCUGUUCCACAGAUACUGUCUUCAUUUUACCUGCAGCAAGAAGAACAAGAUAUACAACCAUCACAUGAUCAUGGAGUUCCCUACACUUAUUGACAACUUCAGACAGAGAUUUCAACUAAGCAGUCAGCUUGAACUGCGAGUCCUUGUCUGCGGUAGAGAAGUUGUUUUGUUGUUGCUAGAGAUGAUUAAGAUAUUUACAAUUAAUAACUUUAGUUUACCUGAAAAAGGUUUAAAUUUGCUGAAAUGUGUUAAGAUUAAUGGAGAAACCCUUUAUGACAUUAUUCUCAAUAAGAUGGCGUCUGUAGUGUGUGAAAGCGGUCUGUGGCUCUGGAGGAAGUUUCUCUCCGUUUCAUACAGAACGAUCAGACGUAGGAUCGCCACCGACAGCGUGGAGGACGAACGAGGAGCCAUAUCUGAUGAUGUACCAUACUAUGAGAUCGUGUGAGUUAAAGUCUUAAAGUGUCUGAUAUUUACUGAACUUAGGUAUCAAAAAUAAUGUUAUGAUAUUAAAUGUGCUUCAUUAUUAGAAGUAAAAGUAAAAAAAAAAAUUGAAUUAACUUUAAAGUGAUUAGAGAUAAAAAUUUCAUAUUUAUUCAUUUCAAUAAAGACAUCAAAAGAGAUCACUGAGUUUUGUGUAUUUGUUUUGUUGUUGGGUUGUUCCCAGGAUAAAGUACUUGAAAGCAAUACUUAAAGUAAAAGUAUGUUACCAGAAACAGACUUUGGUAGAAGUUGAAGUCACCUUUUAGAGCAUUACUUGAGUAAAAGUCUUCAAGUGUCAGAUAUUUACUGAACUUAGGUAUCAAAAGUAAUGUUAUGAUAUUAAAUGUGCUUCAUUAUUAGAAGUAAA